UCUUGACUAGUAUAUCGGUUCAGUACACCCGCUUGUCAUCCAUCAUUGUCUAGAAUUUCGCGCGGGAGAGCAGGGUUCGACUCCCUGGUCGAGAG